CAUCAGUGAUUGACAGGUUUCUGUGCAAGGCAUGGGAAAAGCAGAUACAAAGCGAUUUGCGAUUCUAUAUGAAUGUUUGCAGGCUCCAUACGCCACACUGAGGAAGUGGAACGGGCGUUAAAAAUGCUGAACUGCAACUGCAUCUGUAGUCCAACACUCCUGACAGAUUACUUUGUCCAUCUAUGGAUGCAGCAGGACAGCCGCCAUUACGGCUCACGGACAGCUGACAGGAGAGCAGCGUCAGCGUCUCGCUGACCUUGACGCAAAGGAAUUCGCUACCAGUUUGGCGUGCAUGGGAUUUCGGAAGAGGAUGUGAACGUUAGUUAAAGUGUCUCUAGGUAAGGGUGCGUGCUGCCACUGGUGCGAAUCUGGAUUGGUUUUAAUUACUUUAGGUAGGUGCUUUUUGUAGUUUGAGUGAUGUAUGUGUCCGUGUUUUCUGUUUCACUUGUUGAUUAGAUUAUUCUGUUCUUUUCCAAGAAGCUCAAGAAUGCCACUGAAUGCAUAGCUUCGUAAGGAACGCUGUUGAGGGUAAUCUGUUUUAAAUGGUUUUUAAUCUUAUGUAGAGUAUGAAUUUGGUCUGACUUGCUGUUAUUAUUGUUAUUUAAACAUGUGGUGUUACAGGGAGCUUUUAAAGACUGAAAAGUAUAUUUUUCUUAUUAUUACUUUUGUCAUCUAUGUGAAUUUUUAGGUUUGACAUCAGGACCUCAGCACAUGAGGUUUUGAAGAAGAAGAAGAGGCCUUUAUUUGUCACAUAUACAUUACAGCACAGUUAAAUUCUUUUCUUCACAUAUCCCAGCUUGUUAGGAAGUUGGGGUCAGAGUGCAGGGUCAGCCAUGUUACAGCACCCCUGGAGCAGAGAGGGUUAAGGGCCUUGCUCAAGGGCCCAACAGUGGCAACUUGGCAGUGCUGGCGCUUCAGCAACCCCAACCUUGUGUUCAGUAACCAAGAGCUUUAACUGUUGAGCCAACGCUGCCCGUUUCCCAUCGCUCUGUAUGUAAAUUGUUUUUGUUAUUGUAUUUUUUAUUUAUUUUUUUAAUGUGAUUUGCUCUUAAAAUUAUGGUUUUCUUCUUUAUUUUGAGCACUAUUUCCUAGUUUGUUUGUUUGUUUUUUGGGGGGCUUUGUCAGUUGAUGUCUCCUUAUAAAUAGGGGGAAGUUCGUUGUUGAAUAGUGUGCUAAUGUGUACUGCUUGGAACUUCCUGUCUAAGAUUGUGAAUCUGAGGGGAUUGGAAGCUAUUAGCUGUUUUUAAAUUGUGUUUUUUAAAUUUUUUUAUUAUAGGACUCUCCCUUGGGGAUUUGGACGCUGGUGCAUUCUUGGAGGUCUGAGAACGACCCGCUGUGCUGCUGUCUCUGCCGUGGUGGUGUAGGCUUGAGGGACUUUCUGCACGUGGUGUUAAGUUAAGUUGCCUUUGAUUUACUGCAAGGGAGAUAUUAUUUGGCGAUGUUUGCUGUGCUCCUCCUUUUUCUCACUGCACGGUCUCUGGUCCAUGCCGGUGGGAUGGGGAGAGUGAGGCAGUGUGGAUCCCAUUCCUGGGACCAUCGAAGGAGGACUGUAGCUGUCCCUGUAGGCGGAAUCUUUUACAAUCUUUUGUAGGGAGAAUAACUAUUUUUAUUAGUUAUUUUUAAUUAAAAAAACAAAACAAAAAACAUACGAAAAUAAAAAUACAUGAAACAGAACAUGGGAAGUGUCUAAUGAUAAAUUUCACAUUUGACGUUUAUGUGACUUUGUGGUUCCCCUGAAGAUUAAAAACAUACAGUGAGGGUUUGUUCGUGACUCAAAUUAAGUUAUUAAAGCCGCUGAUGAAGGUAUUACAUUGUCUGAGUUGAAACAGUCAUACAGGAACAUUACUGAAUCUAACGAACAUCCAUUAAAAUCCAAUAAAGUGUUCAUAAACUCUAUUUCAGUGUCUUCAUAAAUUUUUCAUUGAUACUUAAUGAUAUUACAUAACAACUUUCCGAUAACAUGCCUCAAAAACCACAGCAAUUUGUCAACGAUUACAAUUUUUAUUUACCUCAUACUUUUUAUCUAUUCAUACAGUGGUGCUCAAAAGUUUGUGAACCCUUUAGAAUUUCUGCAUAAAUAUGACCUAAAACAGAUUUUCAGAUGAUGAGAGCCCAAUUAAACAAAUGAGAUAUUCAUUUUUAUCUCAUAAUAUUAUACUUUGUCAUUUAUUUAUUUAUUGAGGAAAAUGAUCCAAUAUUACAUAUGUGAGUGGCAAAAGUAUGUGAACCUUUGAUUUCAGUAUCUGGUGUGACUUCCUUGUGCAGCAAUAAUUGUAGAUAAACAGUUGUGGUGACUGUUGAUCAGUCCUGCACAUCGGUUUGGAGGAAGUUUAGCCCAUUCCUCAGUACAGAACAGCUUAAACUCUGGGAUGUUGGUGUGUUUCCUCACAUGAACUGCUUGCUUUAAGUCCUUCCACAACAUUUCUAUUGGAUUAAGGUCAGGACUUUGAUUUGGCCGUUCCAAAACAGUAACUUUAUUCUUCUUUAACCAUUCUUUGGUAGAACGACUUGUGUGAUUAGGGUUGUUGUCUUGCUGCAUGACCCACUUUCUCUUGCGAUUAAGUUCACAGACAGAUAUCCUUACAGUCAUUGUUCCAUCAAUGAUGGCAGGUCGUCCUGGCCCAGGAAAACAGGACCAAACCCUGAUACUACUACCACCACCAUGUUACACAGAUAAGAUAAGGUGGGCCUGAUGGUGGCACUAUAGCACAGUGUGUUACAUUUUAGCCCAUACACUUAGGUCCAUGUAUAUUUGGACAUUGACACAAGUGUAGUUAUAUCGGCUGUUUACCAAAACAUAUUCAAGUUACAGUUAAAUAAUGAACAUGGGCUUAAAAUUCAGUCUCUCUUCUUUAGUUUAAAUGUAUUAACAUCCACAUUGGAGGAAGAGUUUAGGAAUUACAGCUGUUUAAUAUGUAGCCCCUUCUUUAUCAACGAACCAAAAGUAAUUCGACAUUUGACUCAAAAGCUGUUUUAUGGACAGGUGUGGGCUUUUCCUUCGUUAUUUCAUCAAUUAAGCAGGUAAAACCUGUGGAGAUGAUUCCAGGUGUGGCAUUCGCAUUUGGAAACUGUUGCUGUGAACCACAGCAUGCGCUCAAAAGAGCUCUCAAUGCAAGUGAAACAGGCUAUCCUUAAGCUGCAAAAAAAUAAAUAAAUAAUCCAUCAGAGAGAUAUCAGGAACAUUAAGAGUAGCCAAAUGAACAGUUUGGUACAUUCUGAGGAAAAAAGAACGCACUGGUGAACUCUGGAACACAAAAAGGCCUGGACGUCCACAGAAGACAACAGUGCUGUCAUUGCCUGCAAAGGAUUCUCGACAAAGUAUUAAAAAUGAACAUCAAUUGUUUAUUUUCCAACCCGUUGUGGUGUCGUACAGAGCCAAAAUUAUGAAAAUAGUGUCACUGCCCAAAUAUUUGCGGACCUAAAUGUAUCUCAUGAAUCUUUAUUCAUACUAUGAAAUAUUUUAACUGAAACAAAAAAAGCCUCAAUAACACUAAGGCUGCCUACUUAGAUUCUGAGGUAACUUCUGCAAGAAGCUAAACCUUCUUCUGUGAACUAGUCCUAGAAUUUUUGGCUUAUCCUCUUUAAGUUGGUGUCAAAAUUCAAGCAGAAUCUGAUUGAGAUUUUGAAACAAUGUGACUGCCACAUGCCACAUUUUUUUCUAGUAAGCCAGAACAUAGUUUACUCACACGCUUGUAUAUCAGUAUCAAUUGCAUGGGUACAGAAAGGUAAGUUAGUUCAGUUUUUUUGCACUAUCAGAGGCUUCAAGGCCAACUUUAAUGUCAGUAUUUCUGCCAAUUUAUUAUUAUCAAAAGAGCAAACUCUCCAGGACAGAAGCCCCAAUAGAAAAAGUAGGAAAGGGGCAAUAGGACAUAUUUUUGUCCAACAUUACCAGUGGUAUCACAAUAGUAGAGUAUAUUUAAUGAGUAAUAUGAUUGAUUUAUAUCGUUAUAUAGGUUAGAAUUGAUCUAUAUGAAUGUGAUGUUGGAUGGGACAGACAUGGUGUUAUUUAAGACUAAACAUUAACAUCUUGGAAUUUGUUCAGAGGCUGAAUUAUGAGAAAUACCACAGCACUUGGGCUCUAUGCAAUAAAACUUACAUAUGAUGGUAAAUAAGUUGCUUAAAUCUGGAUGUGUAAAUAGCUGGACACUGAACUAAAUGCGGAAUCCCAAAAUGGCUCCCUAUAAUACAUUACAUCGACUUUGGAAGAGAUUAUUAAAUGUACAUUAAGUGUGCAUUUAAUCCCUUACGUAGGGAGUGAUGUUUACCUCAUGGGACUUAUAGAUUAGACACAUUAAAAAAUGUGUUUAUUAACAUAAUGCCUAAUACAUUUUUUUUUGUUGAACUUAGCAAUUGUAUCAACAGAAUAAAGUAACAAUGUGUUUUAUGGAUGUUUACAGCUUUAAAAAGAUGGGUUAUACUGUUUCAGAAGAUGAGUAAGAUAUGCCAGAGCUAAUCUAUUUCGAGAUUUGUUUCUUUAUCAAAAUCUUGUAGUUGAUGUCAAACUUUAAUAGGCAGCCAGGGUAAGCUGAAUAAAAUUGGAGUAAUGUAAUCGGACGUUAUUUUACUGGAAAGACACAAGCUGCAGUAUUCUGGAUUAGUUAAUAAUUAGCUUAUUUAAACCUAGAGCCAGCUAGCAACACAUUACAAUGAUCCAAUCUAAUGGUGCAGUUUUAUCAGGAUUUAGCAGCAGGAAGUUUCUAGUCAUCCAUGCAUCCAUUUUGUGUAACUGUGCUGCUGAAUCUGGCUGGACUGAUAAGUAGGUCUGUGUAUUGUAAGUUUAGAAGUAGAAAUUAACAUUAUAUUUAUGGAUGAAAUGUCUCAGAUGCUCUAUAUAGAGUGAAAAGGGUCGAGAGGAGAACCCUCUUGGAUGCCAUAUUGAAUGUUUUAAGUUAUGAAAGAUCUCUAUUGAUUCUUAAAACUUUCAGUCUAAACCAGGCAAAAACAUAAUCAUCUAAACCAACCAUGUUUUUAAGCCUAUUGAGUAAAUAUCAUGGUUGAAAGUGUCAAAUGCUGCCAGGAAAGUCCAACAAAACCGAAAGAGAACCACAAUCUGAAGUCAGCAGCAGAUCAGUGACCACUUCCUCUAGUGCUGAUUCUACUUCCUGAACUCUGACUGGAUACAUCAUUCUUAUUCUUCUUCUUUAGAAAAGAACAGAGCUGCUGUGCAGCAGUCUUCUCCAAAUGUGACAUGUGUUUACUGUGAAAAAGAACGUUUUAAAACCUCCCCAUGGCCGCUGGAUUGUACAUCAACGUUGCCACCAUAUCAAUCUGGGCAACUUGCCAUAAAUCUCAUAAGUGAACAGGUGAACAGAUACUUGACUCGUGUGCAGCUUGGGGCUAUACAAACCAUCACACACUCCAAAACCAGAUUUCACAGGUUUCCCCCAAAGAGAAACCGUUGAGGAGGCAGUGGGAAGGAGCUGUAAGAAGGGAAGGUGUUUCCGCAAGCGAGUCUGUACUGUCCUGAGAGCACUUCAUGCCUUCAGAUUCUAUUAUUUAAUUAUUUUGAUUUUAUUAUUGACUACAUUAUGCUACUGUUUAUACUACAUAUACAAUUUGCUAUUAUCAAUUGAUUAUUAUUAUUAUUAUUAUUAUUAUUAUUAUUAUUAUUAUUAUUAUUAUUAUUACCACAGAAAUGUUUUACCACUGUAACUGUAUCUGUCAAUGUUUUACCGGAUCCACACAGGAUAGUCAUUGUUAUUGUCUGUUUUGGAGUACAUCUGUAUGCUUUUAUUGCUAAUAAAAAAUAUAGAAAGCAGACUGACUGCCAGUGUCUCAUUCUCAUUUGUAAGUCGCUUUGGAUAAAAGCGUCUGCUAAAAGAAUAAAUGUAAAUGUCUCACUAUUUGAUUCGUAUUUGCCGAUUUUGUUCCAUUUUCUCAAUGAUGGUCAAUUAUUACUACUUAAAGAUGCACUAUUUCGAUUUUUUUUUCUUUUCCUUCAGUAUUUCAAAGUGAACGAGUGGUGUUCUGACCUGGAGCAGGAGAAAAUGCUACAAUGAUGGGCUAGAAAACAGAAAAGGCCAUUUACACAAUGAAAAAACUUUCAAUGUAGAUGAAAUGCAUUAUUAUAUUACAUCAGGAAUGUCCGCACAAUUAUUGUCCAAGAAAAAUAAGCCAAAUCUACGCUUGACAAGCAUGACUUUUCACAAUUCGUUAAGACAGUGAAUCAUUUUCCAAGUCUAACUAUGGAGAUUCUAAGUAACAGGAGAGAAAGCUUUUUUGUUCUCCAUGUAGAUCAUAAACCAUUGAAAUUGGUUGAGGAAUGUAAACGUUAUUGUACUUUUUAUACAGACAGAAACGCAGCUCGCUUGUUUACUUGUAUGUGUUUAUAGGGCAACUUUGCCCAGAUCAAUAUGGACGCAUCGACGUAUCGUAGCAACGAGCCAAUGCAGCGAAUAUGAAGACACGUCCUAUGAUGUCAUCACAAUGCGCCUUCAGCCAAAGCCCCCUUCGAUUCAUGUACGUCGAACAUGAGUAAAGCUAAAAAGUCUAAUUUGCCACCAAACAUCACUGCAAUUUUGCCAAUUCAAGUAGUUUUCCACAGAAAAAAAGAAGCAAUGUGAGACAGCAACCAUACUCCGAUCAUCUUGAGAGAGUUGACUCCUAUAUUCAGGUGUUGUGUAAGGAGAGUGUGUGUAGACGCUGUUACGGGGAGGUGGAGUGGUGUCCAUCUCAGUCUCGUACAAAGAGAUCAGAAGGAAAGGACGGGGUAAAGAGUGUGGGAUUGGACACAACAAUCAGUCCUGGAGUCUGCGGUGCUCUUCUUCCUCUCUCUCUUUCUAUCACAACAACAUUAAAACCGAGCUCGGACUUCCAUCAUUCUCCAGAAUAGGAAUUACGGGGUUUAAGGAUUAUGGGACUCUGAGUUUGUGUGAGUCAAAAUAAGUCUGGAUGGAACCUCAUUUCCUCAUUGUUCCUCAACUCUGCUAUUUGACUGAGCAUUGCCCUGACCGAAUCCUGUUUGUAGUUUUUGAAAUAAAUGUAAAUCAGUCACGACGGCAUUUUGUAACAUUUUAUUCAUUCUGAACUUUAAAUUGAUGAUAUGAUUAAUGAUCAAAUUGUCAGAUUGCGUUUCUGCAUAAAGCAUACUGUAAUACUGUAUAUCUUUGUAGGGAUUGUAAUAGAAAACGACUGCCUCUAGAGGACAGUAAAAUUGUGCAUGGCCAGAAUGCCAAAUCAUUUCCCUGUUUCAUAAAGUGCUCUCCAUAUAAUAGUCCUAAACUGUUUCAUAUUGCAUUGCACAUACAAAGCACUAGAUACAGUUUUUAAUACCCUCUAUAGACCAUGGAGGCACAAAUUGCUGUCUAUUAGCAAUAGAGAGCCUUUCAUUCAUACACUAGCUGAAUAUACAGUGCACUAUAUACUGUAGGGUGGAAAAAUUAUUCAUUUGUACCCUAUGCAUACCCAGUGCACUUUAAUAGCCAAAACACUGGCUGUGUCUGAAAUCGCGUACUGUGACUGUAUGUACUAAUCAGUAUGCACGUGUAGUAUGAAUACAAUCCCGGACAUAUUACAUCCGCCAUAUUGGCAUUGUCAUGUGACCUUCAAUGUCAUCAUAAACACAAAUAUCUUAAAGCAACUGCACUCACAGCAAAAUGCUCCUCAGGAAAGUGAACUGAAUUAGUGAUGUAAUGUGGGCGGGGUUAACAGGUGAGGUAAAUUCGUUGCAGUUAGCUUGGCCAGCUAAGGCGUGAUGGAGAUCACGAAAAAGGUUUCAAACGCUUGUCGUGGAAAUUAGACAACACUCACAGACUCGUCCUCUGAAGGUAAAAAAAAAAAAGUUUAUUACAGAAAGAUGGUUAAUACAGGAUAGAAUAAAGCAGGAAAAAAUGAUGACAGCGCUUUGAAGUGCUUGUGCUGAACCACUACUAUAUAUAUGAAGUGCAGAGCAUGACACACUUCUGUGUACCGAUAAGAAGCAGUUUGAGACAAUUCAAACUGGCUUUGUUUUAGGGUCUUAGAAGAUGUGCAGACGAACCUUGAACAAAAGAACAUGUUUGUGUGUCUGUAACAAGAUAAACAUUCUGUACUGAUCUCAGUGACAUGACAUGGCCUUCUUAGGCGUUAUCCUCAGAUGAACAUGAACAGAAACAAAAUUAUUACAAAGUAAAAAUGAAUAAUUUCCCUCACACGCUGUGAUGACUGUUUUCUUGUUUAAACCUUCAACAAAUUAACAACUUAUAUUGUUAAAGUCCUGUUUAACCAAGGUUUAAUACACUGUCUUCCACCAUUUUUUUCUUCUUCUGAGAUCAUCCGCACCAGUCCCAUUGCAUUAUGGGCAUUUUUGACUCGCAUAGUGACCAUCUACUCAGAAUUCAGACAUAAUACCCAUCUCACGUACUGAGUCCAUGCCUUCCAGGAUUAUUGUGAGUUAGUUCGGAACUGUGUAGAGUGGGGAUAAAUAAAGAAAAAAAUGUAAAAGAAAUAAAAUCAUUAAAAAAAAGUAUAAAUACAAAAAUGUAAUUAUAAAUAAUAAUAAUAACAUUAUUAUAAU